AAUGGGGGAUAACGUAGCGAAAGUUACGCUAAUACCGCAUAUGCCCUGAGGGGGAAAGGUGGGGAUCGCAAGACCUAUCGUUUUCGGAGUGGCCGAUAUCAGAUUAGCUAGUUGGUGGGGCAAAGGCCCACCAAGGCGACGAUCUGUAGCGGGUCUGAGAGGAUGAUCCGCCACACUGGGACUGAGACACGGCCCAGACUCCUACGGGAGGCAGCAGUGGGGAAUUUUGGACAAUGGGGGCAACCCUGAUCCAGCCAUGCCGCGUGAGUGAAGAAGGCCUUCGGGUUGUAAAGCUCUUUCAGCCGGAAAGAAAUCGCGCAGGCUAAUAUCCUGUGUGGAUGACGGUACCGGAAGAAGAAGCACCGGCUAACUACGUGCCAGCAGCCGCGGUAAUACGUAGGGUGCGAGCGUUAAUCGGAAUUACUGGGCGUAAAGCGUGCGCAGGCGGUUUUGUAAGACAGGCGUGAAAUCCCCGGGCUUAACCUGGGAACUGCGUUUGUGACUGCAAGGCUAGAGUGUGGCAGAGGGGGGUAGAAUUCCG
rnacentral:rRNA from 1 species